AGUGAACGUUGGCGGCGUGGAUUAGGCAUGCAAGUCGAGCGAGAACCGUAGCAAUACGGGGACAGCGGCGAACGGGACAGUAAUGUGUAGGUACCUACCCCUGGGUUCGGGAUAGCUGCGGGAAACUGCAGGUAAUACCGGAUAACGUCUGAGGACCAAAGGUGUGAUUCCACCUGGGGAGGGGCCUGCAUCCUAUUAGCUAGUUGGUGAGGUAACGGCCCACCAAGGCUGAGAUGGGUACGAGGUGUGAGAGCACGACCUCGCUCACUGGGACUGAGACACUGCCCAGACACCUACGGGUGGCUGCAGUCGAGAAGCUUCGGCAAUGGGCGCAAGCCUGACCGAGCGACGCCGCGUGCGGGAUGAAGGCCUUCGGGUUGUAAACCGCUGUCAGUGUGGAGGAAAUGCCUAGGGGUAAUCUCCUAGGUUUGACCUAUACGCAGAGGAAGGAUGGGCUAAGUUCGUGCCAGCAGCCGCCGUAA
rnacentral:rRNA from 1 species